rnacentral:rRNA from 1 species
UACGUAGGGUGCAAGCGUUGUCCGGAAUUAUUGGGCGUAAAGAGCUCGUAGGCGGUCUGUCGCGUCGGAUGUGAAAACCCAGGGCUCAACCCUGGGCCUGCAUUCGAUACGGGCAGACUAGAGUUCGGUAGGGGAGACUGGAAUUCCUGGUGUAGCGGUGAAAUGCGUAGAGAUCGGAAAGAACACCAACGGCGAAAGCACUCUGCUGGGCCGACACUGACACUGAGAGACGAAAGCUAGGGGAGCGAAUGGG